rnacentral:rRNA from 1 species
UAGUCCACACGGUAAACGAUGAAUACUCGCUGUUUGCGAUAUACGGCAAGCGGCCAAGCGAAAGCGUUAAGUAUUCCACCUGGGGAGUACGCCGGCAACGGUGAAACUCAAAGGAAUUGACGGGGGCCCGCACAAGCGGAGGGACAUGUGGUUUAAUUCGAUGAUACGCGAGGAACCUUACCCGGGCUUGAAUUGCAACCGGAUGCUCCGGAAACGGAGCAGCUAGCAAUAGCAGUUGUGA